rnacentral:rRNA from 1 species
UACGAAGGGGGCUAGCGUUGUUCGGAUUUACUGGGCGUAAAGCGCACGUAGGCGGAUCGUUAAGUCGGGGGGUGAAAUCCUGGAGCUCAACUCCAGAACUGCCUUCGAUACUGGCGAUCUCGAGUCCGGAAGAGGUGAGUGGAACUCCUAGUGUAGAGGUGGAAUUCGUAGAUAUUAGGAAGAACACCAGUGGCGAAGGCGACUCACUGGUCCGGUACUGACGCUGAGGUGCGAAAGCGUGGGGAGCAAACAGG